rnacentral:rRNA from 1 species
CAAUAGCGUAUAUUAAAGUUGUUGCGGUUAAAAAGCUCGUAGUUGGAUUUCUGUCGAGGACGACCGGUCCGCCCUCCGGGUGAGUAUCUGGCUUGGCCUGGGCAUCUUCUUGGAGAACGUGUCUGCACUUGACUGUGUGGUGCGGUAUCCAGGACUUUUACUUUGAGGAAAUUAGAGUGUUUCAAGCAGGCAUGCGCCUUGAAUACAUUAGCAUGGAAUAAUAAGAUAGGACUCUGGCCUAUCUUGUUGGUCUGUAGGACCGGAGUAAUGAUUAAGAGGGACAGUCGGGGGCAUUCGUAUUUCAUUGUCAGAGGUGAAAUUCUUGGAUUUAUAAAAGACGAACUACUGCGAAAGCAUUUGCCAAGGAUGUUUUCAUUAA